ACAGCCUACUGCUGCACCCGUACCUGCUGCCUGCCGAUCUUCACUCUCGGCUGUGUCUGAAAUUGGCGGAGCUACACCGCUGCUGCUUCUGGCAGCCCCCCUGUGCUGUAUCCCCCUGGGUUUUUUACCUGGGAAUUCCUCGCCUUGCUCCUUCUGCACGGGCCAAAGAGGAGCAAACUGCCCAAAGGAAGCGCUGGCGAGCCUGGCAGGUUGCACGCAGGUAGGUUCCAUACUGUGUUAACUGCAAGAGCGUCCACUCUUCAGCUUGGAUGUCAUUUGGUGGGUCAGACUGAGAACGUCAAUCAGCUGACAACAACUGAAUGAGCCAUCUCAAGAAGAUGAGAUGACAUGGUGAAGACAUGAAGACAUGAACACUU